rnacentral:misc_RNA from 1 species
GUGGGCUCCCUCACAGCGAGCGGCCAACCGAACAUGGGGCUGUCUCUUCACUCUCCCUCCAGUCAUGAAACAUGCUGCGGUCGGGAUGCUCGCGAUCGGUUGCCUGUGCGGUUCUACCCUCUUGCGGGUAGCGAGGUCGUCCCUCGAUGGAUAUUUGCUUGCCUUUCCGACGCACUGUCGUCCGGGCGGCCGAAUUGUUGGCGAAAUCCCUGUGUCGGUGCGCGGUCGGACGCCGCGUUGCUAUCGCUUGGAUUUCUGCCGGCUCUCACGGAUGCGGUGCCUAUUGCCAGCUCUGCGGGGCUCUGCCCCGCAGACUUCGGGAGGUCCCUCGCGCGCAUCACUGCUCUCAUACGCCGUCUGUCGUGUUGCCGGC